GACGUAGGGCGCGAGCGUUGUCCGGAUUUAUUGGGCGUAAAGAGCUCGUAGGCGGCUUGUCGCGUCGUCCGUGAAAACUCACAGCUCAACUGUGAGCUUGCGGUCGAUACGGGCAGGCUAGAGUUCGGCAGGGGAGACUGGAAUUCCUGGUGUAGCGGUGAAAUGCGCAGAUAUCAGGAGGAACACCGGUGGCGAAGGCGGGUCUCUGGGCCGAUACUGACGCUGAGGAGCGAAAGCGUGGGGAGCGAACAGG
rnacentral:rRNA from 1 species